rnacentral:rRNA from 1 species
ACGAGUAGCUGGUCUGAGAGGACGGUCAGCCAGAGGGGCAUUGAGAUACGGGCCCCACUCCUACGGGAGGCAGCAAUCAGGCAUAGUCGGCAAUGGGCGAAAGCCUGACCGCGCGACGCCGCGUGUAGGAAGAAGCUCUAACGAGUGUAAACUACUGUGGUAGAGGAAGAAGUCCUGACUUAAGUCAGGAUUGACGGUACUCUACUAGAAAGGGGCCGCUAACUGCGUGCCAGAAGCGUCGGUAAUACGUGGGCCCCAAACAUUAUCCGGUUUUAUUGGGUGUAAAAGGUCGUGUAGGUGUCCCGCUAAGUUUCAUUUUAAUAUACUAUAGCUUAACUAUAGGAAAGGAUGAAAUACUAGCGGGAUUGAGUUAUCUUUAGGGAGAUUGGAACUCAAGGAGGAGCAGUGAAAUGCGUUGAUACCUUGAGGAACACCAGUGGCGAAGGCGAAUCUCUGGAAGAUAACUGACACUGAGACACGAAAGCUAGGGGAGCGAAGCAGAUUAGAGACCUGCGUAGUCCUAGCCCUAAACGCGUGCUUGCUAGCUGCAUUGGUCCGCCGUAGGCGGACUGGUGUGGCGAAGGUAACCCGUUAAGCAAGCUACCUGGGGAGUACGGCCGCAAGGCCUGAAACUCCAAAGGAAUAUGGCCGGGGAGGCACACAACCAGUGGAACAUGUGGUUCAAUUCGAAACGAACCGAAGAACCUCACCAGGGUUUGACAUCCUGACGUUCUAUUCCGAUGAAAAUCGGUGAAUGCGCAAGCAGGUCAGGACAGGUGCUGCAUGGCUGUCGUCAGCUCGUUCCGUGAGGAGUGCCCUUAAGUGGGACAACGAGCGCAACCCCCGCCCGCUGUUAAAUCUGUCAGCGGGGACAGGUUCGAUAUUAUAUCGAACAGGAAGGAGGGGCAGACGUCAAGUCAGCAUGGUCCUUAUACCCUGGGCUACACACAUGUUACAAUGAGUAAAAACAGCGGGUUUUGCUAGCUAGCAAUAGCAAGCAAAUCCCUUAAAUUUACUCUCAGUGGGGAUUGAGGUCUGCAACUCGACCUCAUGAACGCGGAAUUGGUAGUAAUCGCGGAUCAGUCAUGCCGCGGUGAAUACGUUCUUGCCUCUUGCACACACCGCCCGUCAAGCCAACAAAGUUGGGGAGAUUGAAUCCCGAUUUAAUCGGGAGAGUAUUU